GAGCCAUCAAGUGACUAAUAAGUUAGAAGGAAGCGAGGACCCUCAGGUGGAACAAUGCGGAAAGGACUUUCAGGACAGCAUGCGCAGAAGAUCAGCAUCAUACGGUGUUCCUGCCACCCGUUGCAGACUAGGGAAGAUUCAGACGCAGAGAAGAAGCUGCCCCAGACAGAAAAAGACUGCCACCUCCCCAACCUUUUAACCAAACACAGUGAGUGACCAUUAUAAACAAGAAAAGAAAGGCAUUCGUUGUACUUUGUGAGAUCUGGCUGCACC